AUGAACGCUAGCUACAGGCUUAACACAUUUAAGUCGAGGGGCAGCAUGGUCUUAGCUUGCUAAGGCCGAUGGCGACCGGCGCACGGGUGAGUAACACGUAUCCAACCUGCCGUCUACUCUUGGACAGCCUUCUGAAAGGAAGAUUAAUACAAGAUGGCAUCAUGAGUCCGCAUGUUCACAUGAUUAAAGGUAUUCCGGUAGACGAUGGGGAUGCGUUCCAUUAGAUAGUAGGCGGGGUAACGGCCCACCUAGUCUUCGAUGGAUAGGGGUUCUGAGAGGAAGGUCCCCCACAUUGGAACUGAGACACGGUCCAAACUCCUACGGGAGGCAGCAGUGAGGAAUAUUGGUCAAUGGGCGAGAGCCUGAACCAGCCAAGUAGCGUGAAGGAUGACUGCCCUAUGGGUUGUAAACUUCUUUUAUAAAGGAAUAAAGUCGGGUAUGGAUACCCGUUUGCAUGUACUUUAUGAAUAAGGAUCGGCUAACUCCGUGCCAGCAGCCGCGGUAAUACCGAGCGAUCCGAGCGUUCUCCGGAUUUAUUGGGUUUAAAGGGAGCGUAGAUGGAUGUUUAAGUCAGUUGUGAAAGUUUGCGGCUCAACCGUAAAAUUGCAGUUGAUACUGGAUAUCUUGAGUGCAGUUGAGGCAGGCGGAAUUCGUGGUGUAGCGGUGAAAUGCUUAGAUAUCACGAAGAACUCCGAUUGCGAAGGCAGCCUGCUAAGCUGCAACUGACGCUGAGGCUCGAAAGUGUGGGUAGCAAACAGGAUUAGAUACCCUGGUAGUCCACACCGUAAACGAUGAUUACUAGGUGUUGGAGGAUUGACCCCUUCAGUGCCGCAGUUAACACAAUAAGUAAUCCACCUGGGGAGUACGACCGCAAGGUUGAAACUCAAAGGAAUUGACGGGGGCCCGCACAAGCAGUGGAGUAUGUGGUUUAAUUCGACGCAACGCGAAGAACCUUACCAAGUCUUGACAUCCCUUGACAGGCAUAGAAAUAUGUUUUCUCUUCGGAGCAAGGAGACAGGUGGUGCAUGGUUGUCGUCAGCUCGUGUCGUGAGAUGUUGGGUUAAGUCCCGCAACGAGCGCAACCCUUAUGGUCAGUUACUACGCAAGAGGACUCUGGCCAGACUGCCGUUGACAAAACGGAGGAAGGUGGGGAUGACGUCAAAUCAUCAUGCCCCUUAUGACCAGGGCUACACACGUGCUACAAUGGCGUAAACAAAGAGAAGCGAACUCGCGAGGGUAAGCAAAUCUCAAAAAUAACGUCUCAGUUCGGAUUGUAGUCUGCAACUCGACUACAUGAAGCUGGAAUCGCAAGUAAUCGCAGAUCAG
rnacentral:rRNA from 1 species